GUCCCCAUCGUCUAGCGGUUAGGGCAUUCGGGUUCUCAACCCGAAGAGGUCGGUUCGAAUCCGACUGGGGACGCCA
rnacentral:tRNA from 1 species